rnacentral:rRNA from 1 species
GAUCAUGGCUCAGGAUGAACGCUGGCGGCGUGCUUAACACAUGCAAGUCGAACGGAGUUUUAACGGAAGUUUCGGAUGGAAGUUUAAAAACUUAGUGGCGGACGGGUGAGUAACGCGUGGGUAACCUGCCUCAUACAGGGGGAUAACAGUUAGAAAUGACUGCUAACACCGCAUAAUAUAGCGAAACCGCAUGAUUUUGCUAUCAAAUAUUUAUAGGUAUGAGAUGGGCCCGCGUCUGAUUAGCUAGUUGGUGGGGUAAAAGCCUACCAAGGCGACGAUCAGUAGCCGGCUUGAGAGAGUGACCGGCCACAUUGGGACUGAGACACGGCCCAAACUCCUACGGGAGGCAGCAGUGGGGAGUAUUGGACAAUGGGGGAAACCCUGAUCCAGCGACGCCCGCGUGAGUGAAGAAGUAUUUCGGUAUGUAAAGCUCUAUCAGCAGGGAAGAUAAUGACAGUACCUGACUAAGAAGCCCCGGCUAACUACGUGCCAGCAGCUGC